CCUAUCCUUAGGUACUUAAAGAAGCCAGUCUGCAGUGGUCAUGUGGGAGAGCACAGGUUCGAGUGGAGGCCGGAGCAGUGGCGAUCUAGCCCUGAUCCUCAUCACACCGAGUGAAUUUGGGGCUUGCUGUUUUCCCCAUUUUGGACGUUUGCUGAUAUGUGCCAUUUUAUUUGAAGAUGGAAGUAAGUGAACAUGGCGUUGGACAUUGCUCAUUGUACUUGCUAUCUGGCCUUUACGCAUGUUGCCAUUUUACGGACUAAAACUCAACAAGGCGGUUAAAAAGAAAUAUGCAGGUAUUGUGGAAACAAGCGAAGGGUGUGCUCUAAGAGAUGAGACCCGCCCCUCUGUUGGAGACCUACUCUUACACCAGCUGCAAAGUUUUGCUUGGAAGGUUUGAAUGAAUUGGAUCAUCACCCAGAAGAGAACAAUCUCAUGAGACUGAAGUAGAAAAGUUUUACAAAACUUCAGGCAAAGAAUUUAAGUUUUUGAAAGUUCUUUUCUUGGUUGUUUCAGCUACGAUAAGAGCUUGCUUUCUAGAAUUACUGUUAGAACUGUGAAUUUAGUUUGGGAGGAACAAAUGCUAAUGUUUAUGGCAAUCUUGGGUAAAUGCCUUUGCAAUAAAUAAAUAAAUAAUAAAUAAAUGCACCAGGAGCUUGAUAUCAGGGUGUGUGCUGGAUAGGAAGAAAGGGACCAAGACUUUAGUGAUAAUACCAUCAAAUCCUGGGACUCACAGAGCUGCCUUUCUUGGCAGUUUUGCUAUUUAAAGUUCUAGUUUAAAAGUGUCAAACAGAAGCCCAUAUUUUCUGUAAAAUAGAGAAAUUUAAAUGAGCUAUGUCUCAGAGUUUAGUUUUGGUGGGACAACGACUAACUGCAAAAUCCACUAUUAAAAAAAAAUCAUAUUAUGGCGGCAUAUAAGUUGUGACUUAUUCUCAACUUCUGAACAUUUUGGGAAAGCAAAGAAUUAUUCCAGAGAGAAAUGUGUCCAAAAAUACC
rnacentral:lncRNA from 1 species